GAGGGGUUGGGCCAAAGGUACCUUUGAGGAAGGAUCAGAGUUGGUGCUGGAAACGCAACAGCAGCUCAGACAGCGUCCGCCUGGCAUGAAAAUAAACAUUUCGGACAAAAGGCCUUCAUCAGAAUGUCCCACGCUCCUCGGCACCACUCUAACCCUCAGCAUCUGCAGUAACCACCUCCACUUCUGAGGAAGAAUCUCUCCACCUAAAACGUGAACUCCGCCAGAUCCGCUGGGCUUUUCCACUAAGUUCUGAUUGUGUGUCUGUGGGGCAUUUCUGCCCUCCCUGCCUCCAUCAGUCCGUCCGUCCCUGCCCGGGGAACAUAAGCUGGUUGGUGUUCCCUCCCCCACAGUCUAUAUCCGAACAUUAACAGUGUUUUUGAUUUUAAUACCGUCACGGGACGGAUUUUUGUUUUAAACAAGCUCUCUGCGUCCAGUCCAGCCGAAAUCCCAGGGAAGACUAACCAACGGCCGUCACGCGGGUCCCGGUUUGAAAUGUUACGCAUGCGCAAGACCCACCCUCGCGCAGUGUCGGUUAAACGGCCGCGCUUGGAAAACCUGAAGGGCGGGAAUCGACUCCACCGCUGCCUCCGAUUGGGUAAGGGCCCUGUCAAUGUCAUGGUACCGGCCAAUAGGGAUUGCGGUCCCGCUUGGGUGCCGCCCCCUGGAGGUGAAUCCCUGGAGCUCCUGUGGGAUUAAAGCAGAGAUAACGGUUCCCAUCCGUUCACCCUUCGACACAACUAACAGCAGGAUCCGAGGGUCAGCGUGCCCCAGGGGAGGGGAGAAGUUGAGAAGGAGAAUCCUUCAUGGUGUGAGAAACAGAACUCACUCACACAUCAGCCUGAGACAAAGCCUUGGAAACAAGAACAAUUUAUUACGGCCUUGCAAGUACCGGACGCCUCUGCAAUAAAGCAAAAAAUGCACACGAAAGCAAAGCAUGCAGAAGCAAACCUGAGGUGAGAAUGCGUGUGAGAAACUAUCGAGAGAGCUGGGAACAAUGGAAUAAACACUCAGAAGAAUUUGAUUUUAAAGGAGACUUACGGAGGGUUCCAUGCUGAGAGGAAUUAUUUAGCAGGAAAUUCCAUUUCUUAAGCACAAUCCAAAGGAAUUGUCCAUGAUGGAGAAUCCACAGGUUUCCAAGUUAAACUCUCUCCUUGCACUGGUAUAAGGAUUCUGUGUCGGGAUGUGAUUAAAUAUCCUGCACUUGCCUGGAUUAGUGCAGCUACAACAAACACUCGAAGCUUGACACCAGCCUGUUUGAUUGACACCACAUCCACAAACAUUCAUUCCUUCCAACACCGACUAUCAAUAGCAGUAGUGUACCAUCUGCAUGAUGCACUGCAGAGACUCACCCAAGUUCUUCAGUCAGCACCUUCCAAACCCACAACCAUUUCCAUCUAGAAGUGCAGGUGCAGCAGAUACGUGGGAGCACCACCCAUUGCAAGUUUCCUUCCAACCCUCUCACCCUCUUGACUUGGAAAUAUAUUACGUCGUCUUUUGUGUUGCUGCAUCAAAAUCUUGGAAUUCCCUCCCUAACAACGUUGUGGGUCUAUGUACAGUCCAUGGGCUACAGCAAUUCAAGAAGGCAGCUCAGUGCUACGUUCUCAAAAAGCAGCUAGUGAUGGGUAAUAAAUGCUGGGCCCAGCCAGUGAUACUGACAUCCCACAAAUGAAUUAAAAAUACUAAUUUCAUAGUCUGGAAACAAUGGCAUCCUCCUGUGGGCUACACUGAGGUGUUGUAUUUGUUCAUAAUGUAAGGAAUUCAUGGAUUCAGUUAUUUUACUGCAUUUCUGAAAUUUGCUGCAUACCUAAACAACAAUGUGUUUGUGCAACAACUUAGGUUUUGCAGCAUGAAACCAACUGCACUGAAGUCAUAUGGAAUAGGUAGGUAAUCAUCCAGAUUAAAUCCAUGAAUGACAAAACGUAAGAAAUAUAAAACGUUGAUUGAA